GAUGAACGCUGGCGGCGCGCCUAAUACAUGCAAGUCGAGCGAACAGACGAGGAGCUUGCUCCUCUGACGUUAGCGGCGGACGGGUGAGUAACACGUGGAUAACCUACCUAUAAGACUGGGAUAACUUCGGGAAACCGGAGCUAAUACCGGAUAAUAUAUUGAACCGCAUGGUUCAAUAGUGAAAGACGGUUUUGCUGCCACUUAUAGAUGGAUCCGCGCCGCAUUAGCUAGUUGGUAAGGUAACGGCUUACCAAGGCAACGAUGCGUAGCCGACCUGAGAGGGUGAUCGGCCACACUGGAACUGAGACACGGUCCAGACUCCUACGGGAGGCAGCAGUAGGGAAUCUUCCGCAAUGGGCGAAAGCCUGACGGAGCAACGCCGCGUGAGUGAUGAAGGUCUUCGGAUCGUAAAACUCUGUUAUUAGGGAAGAACAAAUGUGUAAGUAACUAUGCACGUCUUGACGGUACCUAAUCAGAAAGCCACGGCUAACUACGUG
rnacentral:rRNA from 1 species